GAAAUGCGAUAACUAGUGUGAAUUGCAGAAUUCCGUGAAUCAUCGAGUCUUUGAACGCACAUUGCGCCCCCUGGUAUUCCGGGGGGCAUGCCUGUCCGAGCGUCAUUGCUGCCCGUCAAGCACGGCUUGUGUGUUGGGUCGUCGUCCCCUCUCCGGGGGGGACGGGCCCCAAAGGCAGCGGCGGCACCGCGUCCGAUCCUCGAGCGUAUGGGGCUUUGUCACCCGCUCUGUAGGCCCGGCCGGCGCUUGCCGAACGCAAAUCAAUCUUUUUCCAGGUUGACCUCGGAUCAGGUAGGGAUACCCGCUGAACUUAAGC
rnacentral:misc_RNA from 1 species